UCCAAGCUCUUCUGUGUCGGUAUCUCCUGGAAUUGUUCUGUGUGGAGUAGAGGUCUGUGAUUGCAUUUUGCUCCUUCAUUUUGUCAUUUUCAGAGAUGCAGAGGUUCCCUGGAGCUCAGCCUCACACCCAGGAUGAUGUCAGAGUAGCCGGUCAAGGACCCAAGGGUCCCCGGUGCUUGGUGUGACUCCCUUGAUGGUGUGUGUCGGUGGAGUGUGAUCCCAAUGCUCCCACAGCUGUCCGGGGCUCAGCUUGGCUCCCACUCAGGGGUUCCCAGAGCUGUCCAGGUUUCAGCCCUGUUUCCACUGGGGUGUAGUAGUGGGCGGGUCGUGGUCACCGCGGCUGCAUACACUGCCCAUACCCCACCCGGUUCCCACACCAGUGUGUGUGUGGGGUAAGUGUUCAGUCACGCAGGCCCCUGAAGCUGUUUGAGUUUCAGCUUAGCUCCCCUGAGGGUGUGGGGUGGGGGCAGGAAGGGCAUUCUUGAAGUUGUCUGGGGCUCCCCGUGGCUCCCAAGCUGGUGGGGCAGAUGUGAGGCUGGCUCACCUGCGUUCCUGAAGCUGUCGGAGGUUCAACUCAGCUCCAACGGGGGAAGCGGGGAGGAGGAGAGGGGCCGGGAGUGGACCCCAGCCCCCCGAAGCUGUCCGUGUUUCUGCCUGGCUCCCAAGCUCAUGAGAAAAGGGCGGCAGUGGCUCAUCUGCUUUCUGGAAGUUGUAGGAGGUUCAACUCUUUUUUUUUUUUUGAGACAGGAUCUCCCUGUGUAGCUGAAGCUAGCUUUGAAUUUAGUAUGUAGCCCAGGCUGGCCUUGCACUCACGGCAAUCCUCCUGCCUCAGCCUCCCAAGUGCUGGGUUUAUAGGUGCGUGCCACCACACCCGGCUGAAUUUGCUUUAGUGGCACCUCAGAUACUUGUUUGUUUUUGGUGAUGCUGAGACUGAACCCAGACCCUCAUACAGCUAGGCACGCACUCUACCACUGAGCUAUACCUCUAACUACAGACUCAAAUGCCUUAAAAAUAAGAUGGCAUACCAACAAGCCAAAUAUAUUUGCCAAGACACAAAUGAGGGUUCUUAGGGUUUACAUUUUCCAAACUGGCUUAGGGAUGUUGGAAAGGUUUGGAAUUAAGGAGUUAUAACAAAGGGUCCAACAACCUAUGUGUAUUCCAGGCUUCGUUUGUGGAGAAGUGAUUCUUGUGUUAGUGUUAUUUUUCAAAUAAAUGUGGCUUAUAAACUGCAGCGUGUUACUGAACAUUUUGUUAUUUUUUGAUUUCUGAGGUGUAGAUAUGAUGGGAAGAGAUCAUAUUUUAAAACACUGGGACCCAAUCUUUCUUUGGCUGAUACAUUGCCUGGGUUGCCGUUCACUGGUGACUUCUGAGUUUUACGGUAUCCUCUGUAUCGCAACAUGUCCAUUCCGUGAAGGUACUGCAGCUUCUGGGAUGCCACGAGUUUAGCUACCACUUACCUUGACGAAACCACCAACAUAAGUCGACAUCAUGAACAACAGGAUUCAGGAAUCCAGGCUACAGUAUCCCUGACCAGCACACAGGAAGGACGGUCCACCUGUGCCAGACUCCGGACAAAGGUGAUGGUGUGGAAAGGUUCAGUAAAUUUGGGUGCACAGCUAUGAUUUCAGUGCAAUAAGGACUGACUAAUCUAAUAGAACUUACUCUGGGGUUCAGGCUCAGUUUCUCCAGUUUCUAGGAAGAAAAUCCCCUACAGGAAGAUUAAACCUAGAUAUUUUUAUUAAGAUAUUAUUGAGAUAGAUGAAGCGAACACCCUCUGAAAGAAAUAAUAGAGCAAACCCCACAGUUGGGAACUGUAUGAGCCACAAGAAUACAACUCUGAUAUAUUCUGCAUGAUGCAGGCCUCACUUUGUUAGGGCUGGCACCUGUCCUGAUGGCGAGUAUAUCUUUUUUUAAGAUAAAAGCUUCAAGGAAUUCUAUGUCUUAAAGGGAAGAUUUCUGGGGGAUCCUUUUAAAUCUGGUUUUGCCUUAUAAUUACUGUAAAAGAUUUGUACAAAAAUAUAAAAGGCAUGGCUUGAUGGUUAACAUCUGUGUUUUAUUGUUGUUGGCACCAGAAAAGCUCAUGUUCUAUGUUAUGUCACUGUACAUACUGUAAACAAGACUGCAUUAAUAUUGUUUUCUUAUGAUUUCUUGUUUCAAUGAAUCUAGAUUUUAAAAAAUACAUUCACAAACUACCUUAUGUUUGAACACAAUGAUUCCCUUUUAUUUCUUAACUGUACCCAAAAUUCCCACAAUAAAAAAUCAUUUAAAGCUG